GGCUCAGGACGAACGCUGGCGGCGUGCUUAACACAUGCAAGUCGAACGAUGAUCCGGUGCUUGCACCGGGGAUUAGUGGCGAACGGGUGAGUAACACGUGAGUAACCUGCCCUUGACUCUGGGAUAAGCCUGGGAAACCGGGUCUAAUACCGGAUACGACCCGUCACCGCAUGGUGGUGGGUGGAAAGAUUUUUUGGUUUUGGAUGGACUCGCGGCCUAUCAGCUUGUUGGUGAGGUAAUGGCUCACCAAGGCGACGACGGGUAGCCGGCCUGAGAGGGUGACCGGCCACACUGGGACUGAGACACGGCCCAGACUCCUACGGGAGGCAGCAGUGGGGAAUAUUGCACAAUGGGCGAAAGCCUGAUGCAGCGACGCCGCGUGAGGGAUGACGGCCUUCGGGUUGUAAAC
rnacentral:rRNA from 1 species